rnacentral:lncRNA from 1 species
AGAGAGAGAGAGAGAGAGAGAGAGAGAGAGUGUGAGGGAAAGGCAGAGAGAGAGAGAGAGAGAGAGAGAGAGAGAGAGAGAGAUAGGUAUUUCGAGGCCCAAACUGAAUCGAUUGGAAUUAGGGUUUUGUUUGAAUAGAAAAAGAGGAGAAAAAAAUAAAUAAAUAUUAUUUAAUACUAAAAUUAUUAUUUAAAAUAAAAUUUAAAAAAAAAAAAA